UUUCUCUCUGCAAAUAUCAGAUGAGAAAAGAAGCUGAGGAAAUCAUAGUGCCUGCUAUAGUUACUCUCACUAACACUGAACAAGAUGCAAUAUUACAAUCUUGAGAAGCAGUUAUCCAACCAGAAUAAAUACACACAAGCUAUGAAAAUGUUGUUUAUAACAUCUAUUUGUGGCUAUGAAAUUUCCAUGAAUUAACCUUCUUCCCAUAAAUCCAUGCCUCGGGUACUGAGUAAACUAUUCACCUGAUUUUAUUCUUCAUUGCUAAUAUAGUAACUGGAUAUUAGCAACUAAAGCUUUUCA
rnacentral:lncRNA from 1 species